GAGAGGGAACGAGAUGAAUGACUACAGGAUGACUUGACGUGUGUGUAUAACAUGCCUGCUGUCCAUGAGAGAGAGGACCUACAUGGAGAGGGAAUGAAUGGUACUUAGCCUAUAGAGGGACUGUUUACAGUACAUGAGUGGUAGAGAUGGAUUGAAAGAGCCUGAGAGGGAUGACUUGAGCGAGCAUAGAGGGAACUAUUAAUGUAAUGUUCUGUCGUGAGAUUGAAUGUGUGGUUUGUGAGUGGGUGGUUGUGUUGUGUACUUUGUGUUGAGCUGUGCCCUGGCUGCUUCAUGAGCAUGGUGACAAGUGGGAGCCAAGGGGGUGACUAUUGAGUGGGUACAGUUGGUCUGCACUCCCAAAGCCCCCUCAAUGUUUUUUUGUCUCUCUCUCUCUCUGUGUCCCAGGCAGCACAAAGCCUCUGUUUGGCCUAAUUGCAACGUAAUGUCCUUAAGCCCCGAACAGGCAAGCCAGUUAAAGGGUUGAACAAAGCAUCUGGUCCAGCCUUACCCUGCCAGCCUCAGAAGUGGUCCUGAAAGAAGUAAUGGAGAGAUGGAGUUUUCAAUAGCUGCGUGAAGGCUAAGACUCAGCUUGUGUGGAUAGAGGCAGGAGAGAGAGAAUGCUAUGCAGUCAGUGAUUGGCUAAUAUGUGCCUGCAUUGAGGAAGAGAGGGGGGUGCUGCUGGAGCGUGCGUUUUGUGUGGUAGAGAGCGAGCUAGAGACGGGAUAGCCAGGAAAUGUUUUUUUUUUAAAGGGUAGAAGUGUAUUCUUUACAUGUUGACUUUGUUACUUUUGUGGCAUUUAUCCGGGUGGCUGGGAUGUUUAAGCUGUACGAUGGCUGAAACCAAGGCAUAUGACAGGUUAUGGUAAAGAUUUUAAGUAUUUAAAAUGUUCUGCACUGGUAGACUUCUAUGAGAGUUGAGAUUCAAUUACAUUUAAAUUAUUUCUUUGCCUUUUUUAUAUCCUGUUAUAAAGGAGUUAAACAUUAUGCCACUAUACUUUAUUUUUUGGCUAUAUUAGCUCUACUCUUAUAUGCUGCUGUGAGUAGUAAAUAUUGCACUCCUGUUUAGAGUUUAGAAAAGAUGAGUGGCCCAAUGUCACACUGCAGUCCAAACCAGGCCAGCCAACCAGCGGUGACUAUGAGGAGAGCAGUCGCCAGCUCCAAUACACUACCUACUGAACGGCACCAUGCAGCCACAUCAGCAGCAUGCCUCAGUGGAAGUCAUCCCCUACCCAGCCAUCCGUGUAGCCAAAGUAAUCAGAGAUGUGAUUUUUCAGGUUUCUAGAAUCAGGCGUAUCUUAGAUCUUUGCUGUGGAUCAUUAGAUUUGUUGAUGACCUUUUUCCCCCUCUGAUUGUUAUGUUGUGGUGAUCAAACCCUUGACAAAUUAGACCGUAAAAGAUGGUGAUAGGACUGUCUGUGUAGACCCACUGAACCGCACAGCUCCACAUACUGCUCCGGAUGUAAAAACCAUCCUCAGAUCUGUGUGUGUGUGUGGAACAAUAUGGCCAGUGUUCUGUCUGUGCUGGGGACAAUCGUUAAGCACUGUCUGUAGUUUCACAAAGGGUGCAUCAACACCAACCUGUAAAGCACCAUUCAAUUGAUCUGAUUCAGCUCUGAGGCAAAACAGGUCUAUAAUGACACAUGGAUUAAAGACACAACAGGGCCACUGACCGACCUGUGAGUGUGUGUCAUCAAAUGUUUGUUUGUCACGUGCCAAAUAAAACAGGUAUUGACCUUACUGUGAAAUACUUACUUACAAGCUCUUAACCAACAGUGCAGUUCAAGAAAUAGAGUUUAAUCAAAUAUUUAGUAAAUAAAAUAAAAGGUAACAGUAGAAUUGCAUAACAAUAAUGCGGCUAUACAGGGGGUCCGGUACUGAGUUAAUGUGCGGGGUAUAGGUUAGUCAGGCUAUAUACAGGGGGCCCGGUACUGAGUUAAUGUGCGGGGUAUAGGUUAGUCAGGCUAUAUACAGGGGGCCCAGUACUGAGUUAAUGUGCGGGGUAUAGGUUAGUCAGGCUAUAUACAGGGGGCCCAGUACUGAGUUAAUGUGCGGGGUAUAGGUUAGUCAGGCUAUAUACAGGGGGCCCAGUACUGAGUUAAUGUGCGGGGUAUAGGUUAGUCAGGCUAUAUACAGGGGGCCCAGUACUGAGUUAAUGUGCAGGGUAUAGGUUAGUCAGGCUAUAUACAGGGGGCCCGGUACUGAGUUAAUGUGCGGGGUAUAGGUUAGUCAGGCUAUAUACAGGGGGCCCGGUACUGAGUUAAUGUGCGGGGUAUAGGUUAGUCAGGCUAUAUACAGGGGGCCCGGUACUGAGUUAAUGUGCGGGGUAUAGGUUAGUCAGGCUAUAUACAGGGGGCCCGGUACUGAGUUAAUGUGCAGGGUAUAGGUUAGUCAGGCUAUAUACAGGGGGCCCGGUACUGAGUUAAUGUGCUGGGUAUAGGUUAGUCAGGCUAUAUACAGGGGGCCCGGUACUGAGUUAAUGUGCGGGGUAUAGGUUAGUCAGGCUAUAUACAGGGGGUCCGGUACUGAGUUAAUGUGCGGGGUAUAGGUUAGUCAGGCUAUAUACAGGGGGCCCGGUACUGAGUUAAUGUGCGGGGUAUAGGUUAGUCAGGCUAUAUACAGGGGGCCCGGUACUGAGUUAAUGUGCGGGGUAUAGGUUAGUCAGGCUAUAUACAGGGGGCCCGGUACUGAGUUAAUGUGCGGGGUAUAGGUUAGUCAGGCUAUAUACAGGG